rnacentral:rRNA from 1 species
GAUGAACGCUAGCGGCAGGCCUAACACAUGCAAGUCGAGGGAGAAGCCCUUUCGGGGGCCGAAACCGGCGCACGGGUGCGUAAAGCGUAUGCAACCUACCUUUCACAGGGGGAUAGCCCGAAGAAAUUUGGAUUAAUACCCCAUAAUAUUAUUGGAUGGCAUCAUUUGAUAAUUAAAACUGCGGUGGUGAAAGAUGGGCAUGCGUCCUAUUAGCUAGUUGGAGUGGUAACGGCACCCCAAGGCUACGAUAGGUAGGGGUCCUGAGAGGGAGAUCCCCCACACUGGUACUGAGACAGGGACCAGACUCCUACGGGAGGCAGCAGUGAGGAAUAUUGGUCAAUGGUCGGAAGACUGAACCAGCCAUGCCGCGUGCAGGAAGAAUGCCUUAUGGGUUGUAAACUGCUUUUAUAUGGGAAGAAUAAGGCGUACGUGUACGUUGAUGACGGUACCAUAUGAAUAAGCAUCGGCUAACUCCGUG